rfam:Candidatus Glomeribacter gigasporarum BEG34, WGS project CAFB01000000 data, contig: Contig3-1692
AAUGAGGUGAAAGUCCCCUGACGCCAAUUGCCUAUUCGGGCGUCUAGCAGGAGGUCGGGUUUGUGAAGCGAUUUGCAGGCUCAAGUGAGCUUGAACGAUAAAUGCAAAACAGCGGGCCACAACGAAA